CAGAGAGAAGAAAACUGUGUGACUUUAAAAGAAAACCAGUGAGAUAAAAUCACAGAAAAUGUAUGAUGAUUCAGGAUGUGGUCAUUUGGUCCUGUUCUGUGGAUGCCCUAAGACAGUGUCUACCCAUCACUCCAUCUGAUAUCACUUGUUCUGAGCAUGUUUCUCUACAGAGAGCCUGUGGAUAGAGGAUGAAGAGUGACCUUGGACUAAUUUUCUAGGUCAAAGAUCAUAGGUGAUGUGAAGAAAACCAGGAAACGGAUGUUGAAAG